GUGACACACCCUUGAAUGCUGCACAUAUACUGAAAUUGGAUCGAUACAGUGAAGAUUAGCAUGGCCCCUGCGAAAGGAUGACACGCAAAUCCGUGAAGCACUCCAAAUUUUU
ensembl:snRNA U6 U6 spliceosomal RNA